CCUACGGGUGGCAGCAGUGGGGGAUAUUGCACAAUGGGGGGAACCCUGAUGCAGCGACGCCGCGUGGGUGAAGAAGCGCCUCGGCGCGUAAAGCCCUGUCAGCAGGGAAGAAAAUGACGGUACCUGAAGAAGAAGCCCCGGCUAACUACGUGCCAGCAGCCGCGGUAAUACGUAGGGGGCAAGCGUUAUCCGGAUUUACUGGGCGUAAAGGGGGCGCAGACGGCGAUGCAAGCCAGGAGUGAAAGCCCGGGGCCCAACCCCGGGACUGCUCUUGGAACUGCGUGGCUUGAGUACAGUUGAGGUAGGCGGAAUUCGUGGUGUAGCGGUGAAAUGCUUAGAUAUCACGAAGAACCCCGAUUGCGAAGGCAGCUUACUAAACUGUGACUGACAUUGAUGCUCGAAAGUGUGGGUAUCAAACAGGAUUAGAUACCCGAGUAGUC
rnacentral:rRNA from 1 species